rnacentral:rRNA from 1 species
AUUGAACGCUGGCGGCAGGCCUAACACAUGCAAGUCGAACGAGUAGCGGACGGGUGAGUAAUGUCUGGGCAACUGCCCGAUGGAGGGGGAUAACUACUGGAAACGGUAGCUAAUACCGCCUACCAUCGGAUGUGCCCAGAUGGGAUUAGCUAGUAGGCGGGGUAACGGCUCACCUAGGCGACGAUCCCUCGCUGGUCUGAGAGGAUGACCAGCCACGCCGGAACGGGGACACGGUCCAGACUCCGACGGGAGGCGGCAGUGGGGAAUAUUGCCCAAUGGGCGCAAGCCUGAUGCAGCCAUGCCGCGUGUAUGAGGAAGGCCUUCGGGUUGUAAAGUACUUUCAGCGAGGAGGCGUUACUCGCAGAAGAAGCAACGGCUAACUCCGUGCCAGCCGCCGCGGUAAUAC